AUUUAAGUAAUUUAAUAAAAAUAUUGAUUUGUGGUGUCAAAAAUAUAGAUUUUCUAUCUUAAAUU
rnacentral:tRNA from 1 species